rnacentral:lncRNA from 1 species
UUUUAAAACUGAACUUGCAACGGGCAAAUUUACUUCAGUUUUGUGAUGUGAAGCACGUUUUUUCUAUUGUGGAUUAUAAAUUUGAUGUCUACAAAGUACAGAUAUAGAUCAGAGGCAAUAGUUGUGCAUCCUCUCGCUGCUUCAAGACGACAAUGGUGUCAGACAUAUAUAUGAGCCCACUUCCCACAGCUACAGGUACACGAGGGAAAACUACUAGUACUAACUUAGGUCAUUAUGCAUUUCGUUCAACAUAGUCCUUGCAUAGCAAACAACAUGGCAUGGUGAUGAUACUACACUAAAAUAAAUAAAAAUAAACGGUUA